GGUCCCAUCGUCUAGUGGUCUAGGACACCGCCCUUUCAAGGCGGCGGCACGGGUUCGAAUCCCGUUGGGACCGCCA
rnacentral:tRNA from 2 species